UACGUAGGUGGCAAGCGUUGUCCGGAUUUACUGGGCGUAAAGAGCGCGCAGGCGGUCGAGUAAGUCGAAUGUGAAAGCCCCCGGCUUAACUGGGGAGGGUCAUUCGAUACUGUUCGACUUGAAGGCAGGAGAGGGCAGCAGAAUUCCCGGUGUAGUGGUGAAAUGCGUAGAUAUCGGGAGGGAUACCAGUGGCGAAGGCGGCUGCCUGGCCUGUUCUUGACGCUGAGGCGCGAAAGCUAGGGGAGCAAACGGG
rnacentral:rRNA from 1 species